UGAGGAAUAUCGGUCAAUGGGCGAGAGCCUGAACCAGCCAAGUCGCGUGAAGGAAGAAGGUUCUAUGGAUUGUAAACUUCUUUUGCAGGGGAAUAAAGGACGGUACGUGUACUGUUUUGUAUGUACCUUGCGAAUAAGGAUCGGCUAACUCCGUG
rnacentral:rRNA from 1 species